rnacentral:rRNA from 1 species
UUGAACGCUGGCGGCAGGCCUAACACAUGCAAGUCGAACGGUAACAGGAAGCAGCUUGCUGCUUCGCUGACGAGUGGCGGGCGGGUGAGUAAUGUCUGGGAAACUGCCUGAUGGAGGGGGAUAACUACUGGAAACGGUAGCUAAUACCGCAUAACGUCGCAAGACCAAAGAGGGGGACCUUAGGGCCUCUUGCCAUCGGAUGUGCCCAGAUGGGAUUAGCUAGUAGGUGGGGUAACGGCUCACCUAGGCGACGAUCCCUAGCUGGUCUGAGAGGAUGACCAGCCACACUGGAACUGAGACACGGUCCAGACUCCUACGGGAGGCAGCAGUGGGGAAUAUUGCACAAUGGGCGCAAGCCUGAUGCAGCCAUGCCGCGUGUAUGAAGAAGGCCUUCGGGUUGUAAAGUACUUUCAGCGGGGAGGAAGGGAGUAAAGUUAAUACCUUUGCUCAUUGACGUUACCCGCAGAAGAAGCACCGGCUAACUCCGUG